UACGUUCAAACCACCAUGAAAGCACCCGAUCCCAUCAGAACUCGGAAGUUAAGCAUGGUUGGGCUCGAUCAGUACUGGGUUGAGGGAUCACCUGGGAACCCCGAGUAACGU
rnacentral:rRNA from 1 species